GUUAAUUCUUUGUCAGUGCGUCUUUUUAUAAAUAAAUGAUUCAGUUUAAUUUAUUUCCUAAUCUUGUAAUUCAUGACAACUUAUCUAAGAUGAAGUAUAAAAGUGGUAUUUAUUUUACAUUUUCUUUUUACUUGUAGAAUUUUUGGAUGCUACACGUGUAAUGAUGCUGUUCGGAAUGUCAUUGUAUAUUUUCGCCACUAUUUGCUCACUGGUGUAUGUUUUUUGUCGACAAGAAAAGACGAGUUUGAUAACUGCAGCAACAUUCCUUAUGUUAUUUGGAGGUAUAUUGUGCAUGGUUGGAGUUGUUGUGUAUGGUGCCAUGUAUCCAAUACUGCUGAGAGCCAAAGGUUUAAGUCUUCAUGCAGGGUUUGCACUUGGUGUCUGCAGUGUCGUCGCCGGAUUUGUAACCACACUGUUCUAUUGUAUGGCAAGAGCCAAGGGUGACGUUGAAUGAGCCAAAUUAUGUGCUAAUUAGCCAUAUGCAAUCUGAACAAUAAUUGUUCAGCAAAGAGUUCUUUUUAAAAGAACUUUUUAAAAUUUCCUAACCAUAUAGUGAUUAAGAUUUAAAGAGCUUUAUGUAUCUAAACAGCUGUCAAAACUCAGGAAAGAUUGUCUUCUGAAAAUGUAUCCAGACUGUUACUGCUGACUUUUUUUUCUUAUAUACAGAUGAUUGAUGAAAAUAUUGAAAUAGGAAACCAGUCUUUCAAUGCUACAUCUGAUUGGUUCAUUUAAAUUUCAGAUUUGAAAUUGAACAACGAUUGCACACCAUUUUCAGACUGGUUUUGUUUGAUCUAUCUGUUUACAGCAUUAGCUAUAGAUUGUGCUUUUUAAAACAGUUAUUAUUUUUAUUUAACCGAUUUAUUAUUCAAGUGAUAUGAUAUUAUUUCAAAUCUUAAAAGAAUCAGAUCUUGAACAGAUAAAAUCUGUACUGGUAAAUUUAAAACUUCUUGAUGAACAUUGGCUUGGACUAAUGUUACAUUUUUCACUAUUGGAACUAAUUGUAAAGGGCCAUGUGCUUUAAAAGGUUUAUAUAUUUAUCAUUAAAUCAUUGUACAUACUCAUUUCAUUAAAGUAAACCAUUCCAAUAGAUCUUAAAAGUGUUUCUGUCAGAAUGUUUGGAAAGAAACAACGCAGUGCAUUAAGACAGUUGUAAGGAACAAUAUGUUUUCAUUCAGAAGUAAUAUUCAGUUAUUUCAUUUUGUAACCGAGAUUAUGUACAUAUUUUUCUUUAACAAGAAUCUUUAUUUGUAUGUUGCAAACUUUAAUACAAAAAGUACCAUUCAAAUGAAUACCGACGUCACAUUAAAGCCAUUAUUUUCUACGCAUGCGCAGUAGGAUUAAUAAAAUCAAAGAAUUAGUUCUUCAUGUGUAUAUAUUAUUACAUUGUUUUGUUCAAAAUGAUCAAUUUAAGAUCGCGAAGAUAGUAUCAUAAAAAACGGAAUCAUCAAAACUACUUUAUUAGAGUUGACAAACAGCUGAUGUAGAACCCGAGAAUUUCAUGCAUGCGAGAGAUUAUACAUGUAUAUGCAUUUCUUUGAAGCAUGUAAAUUAAGAAAAUGAUCAGAAAUAUCUUUGAUAAUAAUAAUCUUUCUGAUGUGUA